AUGCAUCACUACCAGAUGGACCUGCGUUGUAUUAGCUAGUUGGUGGGGUAACGGCUCACCAAGGCGACGAUACAUAGCCGACCUGAGAGGGUGAUCGGCCACACUGGGACUGAGACACGGCCCAGACUCCUACGGGAGGCAGCAGUAGGGAAUCUUCGGCAAUGGACGGAAGUCUGACCGAGCAACGCCGCGUGAGUGAAGAAGGUUUUCGGAUCGUAAAGCUCUGGUUGUAAAGAGAAAGAACCGGAAGUUUGAGGAAUUGGAAAGUUCACACUUUGCCGGUAUCUUACCAGAAAGGACCGGCUAACUACGUGCCAGCACCCCCGGUAAUACGUAGGUCCCGAGCGUUGUCCGAAUUUAUUGGGCGUAAAGCGAGCGCCAGCCGGUUAGAUAAGUCUGAAGUUAAAGCCUGUGGCUUAACCAUAGUACGCUUUGGAAACCUGUUUAACUUGAGUGCAAGAGGGGAGAGUGGAAUUCCAUGUGUAGCGGUGAAAUGCGUAGAUAUAUGGAGGAACACCGGUGGCGAAAGCGGCUCUCUGGCUUGUAACUGACG
rnacentral:rRNA from 1 species